CUCGUGUCGUGAGAUGUUGGUUAAGUCCGUAACGAGCGCAACCCUCGUCUUACGUUAUCAGCACGUUAUGGUGGGCACUCUAAGGAGACUGCCGGUGACAAACCGGAGGAAGGUGGGGAUGACGUCAAGUCAUCAUGGCCCUUACGGCCUGGGCUACACACGUGCUACAAUGGUCGGUACAAAGGGUUGCCAAGCCGCGAGGUGGAGCUAAUCCCAUAAAACCGAUCGUAGUCCGGAUCGCAGUCUGCAACUCGACUGCGUGAAGUCGGAAUCGCUAGUAAUCGUGAAUCAGAAUGUCACGGUGAAUACGUUCCCGGGCCUU
rnacentral:rRNA from 1 species